rnacentral:rRNA from 1 species
UACGAAGGGGGCUAGCGUUGUUCGGAAUUACUGGGCGUAAAGCGCGUGUAGGCGGGUCUUAAGUCAGGGGUGAAAUCCUGGAGCUCAACUCCAGAACUGCCUUUGAUACUGAGGAGCUUGAGUCCGGGAGAGGUGAGUGGAACUGCGAGUGUAGAGGUGAAAUUCGUAGAUAUUCGCAAGAACACCAGUGGCGAAGGCGGCUCACUGGCCCGGUACUGACGCUGAGGUGCGAAAGCGUGGGGAGCAACAGG